rnacentral:rRNA from 1 species
GACGAACGCUGGCGGCGUGCUUAACACAUGCAAGUCGAACGGAAAGGCCCUGCUUUUGUGGGGUUCUCGAGUGGCGAUCGGGUGAGUAACACGUGAGUAACCUGCCCUUGACUUUGGUAUAACUUCAGGAAACUGGGGCUAAUACCGGAUAGGAGCUCCUGCUGCAUGGUGGGGGUUGGAAAGUUUCGGCGGUUGGGGAUGGACUCGCGGGUUAUCAGCUUGUUGGUGGGGUAGUGGCUUACCAAGGCUUUGACGGGUAGCCGGCCUGAGAGGGUGACCGGCCAAAUUGGGACUGAGAUACGGACCAGACUCCAACGGGAGGCAGCAGUGGGGAAUAUUGAACAAUGGGCGGAAGCCUGAUGAAGCAACGCCGCGUGCGGGAUGACGGCCUUCGGGUUGUAAACCGCUUUCGCCUGUGACGAAGCGUGAGUGACGGUAAUGGGUAAAGAAGCACCGGCUAACUACGUG